UGUGGCUCAGUAGUAGAGCAUUGGCCCUCGGACCAAAGGGUCAAGGGUUCGAUUCCCUGUCA
rfam:Myotis brandtii contig161809, whole genome shotgun sequence.